UCACUGCAAAACGUAUAAAAACAAAUUCUCGUUUCCAAAAUCCGCACAUAACUACACGUCAUACAUACAUACAUAACUUCUCCGCAUUCAAUUGCCAAGAAGAAUAAAUUCAAAAACAUUCACAUUUUCGAUUAUUAAGCUGAAAUUUGAGAUCAACAUGAAAUCAGCGGCCUGUCUCGUUCUCUGCAUGUUUUUCGUGGGUACCCUCUUCUUCCUGGUUGAGGUGGAUGGACAAACGCCCCCAUGCAAGCUGAAAUGCUACGAAUAUCUGGAUUGCAAAAAUUCAUGGACCAAUUUCCACAACGCGAGCCCAGACACGGUAGCAUUUUUCUGCAAGAAGGAGGAACUGGCGCCUGGAUGCGAUUGUGGGUGUAUUUGCCAAUGAUAACAACCAAGGAAAUUGUGUUGGUAAUUAACCUUCCGAUUAUUAUAUACAUUUUCUCUGAUUUGUGUAUAUGAUGAAUGUGAAAUUUUAAAUAAUUACUUAAAUAAAAAUGUUUUAAUUGCUUGCAAUGUGUAAUAAUUACACACCUGUAUAAAACUAUUUUAACAUGAAAUUU